rnacentral:tRNA from 1 species
ACCUGGGUGGCUCAAUUGGUUGAGCAUUUGACUUCAGCUCAGGUCAUGAUCUCAUGGUUUGUGGGUUCAAGCCCCAUGUUGGGCU